CGCUCGCCGUACGCCACUUCCGGGACGCGCCCGGGGCUACUUCGCUGCAGAGAGUGGGUGCGGCUCCGCGCGGGCUCGCGGAGGAGCUCGGCCUCGCUGACUGAGCUGGCGGCGACUCGGCGGUACGCAGCGCGCUGCUGCAACCCUGCCCCGCCCUGGCCAGGCUCUUAGUAUAUCCAGGAUCCUGAGCUGCCAGGGGCCUAGCCACUCCCGGCCAGAGCCCUGCCUUGGCUGAGCUGGUCACCGCUGUGUGUCCCGGGCUGCCAGCCUGCCUGUCAUCUGCAGUGCACAGAAGAUGAUGGCUGUGUGAGUGCCUGCCAUGGCCCACUGGAAGUGUGAGAGCAUGGGGAGCGGCAUGUUGGACUACAGGGCGAGGCCGGGCGCUGUCUCCCACGGCCAGGAGCGAAGACGUGGAGCUGCCCUUGGAGGACUAUGGGCCCAAGGGCCUGAAACUGGCCACCCUGCCGCCAGAGAGCCCCAUGCGCAAGGAGUAGGAGUGCCACAACCACAGCCCCGGUGGGGAUUCCAGCUCCAACUAUGUGAACAACAACCUCGAGGAGGAGGACUACGACAAGGGCCUCCCUAAGGAGGAGGAGGGCAUCACCUACUACAUUUGCUGCUGCCCCAAGGACAACAGCUACCUGGAGGCCAUGGACUGCAAUGGGGAUGAGUACCUAGUCCAUGGCACGUAUCUCAUGGACACCUACACAUGCCAGGGGCAUGCACACAACAUGCCUCAUAACUGGACCAGUGAAGAGCUCAGCCCCCAUUAGAACUGCAAGGCAUCCAAUCCCCCCACUGCCUCACUUCAGCAUCUGCAAGGGCUGUACCAGGAGGUCCCUUGCUCUCAGGCCCCUCUGUUCCUUUCCCUGGGACAGAAGAGGAGUGGCUGGACUCGGCAGGCCUACACCCCUACAGCCACUAUGCUGAGGGCAGCCAGGAUUACCCAGAUGGCCACCUGCCCAUCCUGGAGCAUGAGCCCUCUGUCCUGGAGGCCCACUACCAGGAAGAAGAUGGCUACUACCAUCCCAGCAAAGAGGACUACCAGGACUGCUACCCCACAGAGGCCAACGGGAACACCAGCACCUCCCACUACCACCUGAGGCAUGGGGACGGGGACUUGGAGGACCAGGAGGAGGACAUCUACCCAGUCGUGGCUGAGAUCAAGAGGAGUGUGAGCAUGACCAGCAUCACCAGUGCCAGUGAGGCCAGCAGAACUAGAAAAUGUUGCACAGGAGUGACAAACUAAAUUCAGAAGAGUGGGUACCUCUAGGGACGGGUAGAGGAAUAAGCCUGUGGGAGGAGGUUCUGGGGGCUUUAUUUCAUAUAUAAGUUUUAGUUCAUGAAACAAGAAAAAGUCUGAAGCAAGUACCACUACAUAUGAGUAUGUUCUCAUAACCCCAGAGAGUGGUACCCAGGUGUUUGGCAUAUGGGCUCUUAUAAAUUUAUGUAUGUUUGAAAUACUUAUUUACUGAGAAAUACUUACUUUGAAAUAUUUGUUCUUGAGAUAGUCAAUAUCACAACAAAUGUACAUAUUUGUACACAUGUACAUACU